rnacentral:rRNA from 1 species
UACGGGGGGAGCAAGCGUUGUUCGGAUUUACUGGGCGUAAAGGGCGCGUAGGCGGCCAGCGCAAGUCAGUUGUGAAAUCUCCGAGCUUAACUCGGAAAGGUCAACUGAUACUGCGCGGCUAGAGUGCAGAAGGGGCAACUGGAAUUCUCGGUGUAGCGGUGAAAUGCGUAGAUAUCGAGAGGAACACCUGCGGCGAAGGCGGGUCUCUGGACAGUUCCUGACGCUGAGGCACGAAGGUCAGGGGAGCAAACGGG